AAAAUAUUAAAGAAAAAAAAGGAAUGCAGUUUCUCAUUUGCUAUGGAAAUGACCAUUAAAAAAAAAAAAGUUCCCACUAGGUUUUCUAUGAGCUACUUUACCAGCGAUCAACUUACUGGGAACAUUU